UACGGAGGGUGCAAGCGUUAUCCGGAUUUACUGGGUUUAAAGGGUGCGUAGGCGGACAGGUAAGUCAGUGGUGAAAUCCCCGAGCUCAACUUGGGAACUGCCGUUGAUACUAUCUGUCUUGAAUACCGUGGAGGUGAGCGGAAUAUGUCAUGUAGCGGUGAAAUGCUUAGAUAUGACAUAGAACACCGAUUGCGAAGGCAGCUCACUACGCGGUCAUUGACGCUGAGGCACGAAAGCGUGGGGAGCAAACAGGG
rnacentral:rRNA from 1 species